UACGGAGGGUGCAAGCGUUGCUCGGAUUUAUUGGGCGUAAAGGGUAGGUAGGUGGUCUCAUUUGUCUGAGGUGAAAGCCUUGAGCUUAACUCAAGAAGUGCCUCAGAAACGGUGAGACUGGAGUCCUGGAGAGGGUCGUGGAAUUCCCGGUGUAGCGGUGAAAUGCGUAGAGAUCGGGAGGAACACCAGAGGCGAAAGCGGCGACCUGGACAGGUACUGACACUCAACUACGAAAGCGUGGGGAGCAAACAGG
rnacentral:rRNA from 1 species